rnacentral:rRNA from 1 species
UACGUAGGGACCAAGCGUUGUUCGGAUUUACUGGGCGUAAAGGGUGCGUAGGUGGCGCUGUAAGUCGGGUGUGAAAUUUCGGAGCUUAACUCCGAAACUGCAUUCGAUACUGCGGUGCUUGAGGACUGGAGAGGAGACUGGAAUUCAUGGUGUAGCAGUGAAAUGCGUAGAGAUCAUGAGGAAGACCAGUGGCGAAAGGCGGGUCUCUGGACAGUUCCUGACACUGAGGCACGAAGGCCAGGGGAGCAAACGGG